rnacentral:rRNA from 1 species
UUGAAAGGGAAACGAUUGAAGUCAGUCGUGCGGGCGCGUAAUCAGCCUACGAUUUGUCAAACAAGUAGUGUGGUGAGCCUCAAAACCGCCAUAUUAUUUGUCUGGUUAAUCGUCGGUGCACUUUCGUGUCGGCUGGUUAACAUCAAUUUCAAAUGUCAUAAAAAGGCUGGAGGGAUGUGGCUCCUUCGGGAGUGUUAUAACCUUUAGCGGAAUGUGGUGUUUGGGAUUGAGGAUUGCAACGAAUACCUUUAGGGCUGUUCCACCUGGUCUCUCUUUGGCAUCUUGGCGGCGACAGCUUGCUGACGUUGUUAAGAGUUGACAUUGAACAGGCUAGAGUGUGAGCAACUUCGUUAAGGAUGUUGACGUA